GAUGAACGCUGGCGGCGUGCCUAAUGCAUGCAAGUCGAGCGAACAGACGAGGUGCUUGCUCCUCUUUCAUUAGCAGCGGACGGGUGAGUAACACGUGGGUAACCUACCUAUAAGCGUGGGAUAACUUCUGGAAACCGGAGCUAAUACCGGAUAAUAUAUUUAACCAUAUGUUUCAAUAGUGAAAGACGGUAUUGCUUUACCUUAUAGAUAUAUCGCCUGGUCUUUGCCAGUGGGUAAGGUAAAGGGCUACCAAGGCAAAGAUGCGUAACCGACCUGAGAGGGGGAGCGCCCACACGGGAACUGAGAAACGCCCAAGACUCCUACGGGAGGAAGCAGUAGGGAAUCUUGCGAAAUGGGCGAAAGCCUGACGGAGAAACGCCGCGUGAGUGAUGAAGGUCUUGGGACCGAAAAACUCGGUUAUAAGGGAAGACCAAAUGUGUAAGUAACUAUGCACGUCUUGACGGUACCUAAUCAGAAAGCCACGGCUAACUACGUG
rnacentral:rRNA from 1 species